rnacentral:rRNA from 1 species
CCUUAGAGUUUGAUCCUGGCUCAGGAUGAACGCUGGCGGCGUGCUUAACACAUGCAAGUCGAACGGGAAACAUUUCAUUGAGGCUUCGGCGGAUUUGAUCUGUUUCUAGUGGCGGACGGGUGAGUAACGCGUGGGUAACCUGCCUUAUACUGGGGGAUAACAGCCAGAAAUGACUGCUAAUACCGCAUAAGCGCACAGAACCGCAUGGUUCCGUGUGAAAAACUCCGGUGGUAUAAGAUGGACCCGCGUUGGAUUAGCUAGUUGGCAGGGCAGCGGCCUACCAAGGCGACGAUCCAUAGCCGGCCUGAGAGGGUGAACGGCCACAUUGGGACUGAGACACGGCCCAGACUCCUACGGGAGGCAGCAGUGGGGAAUCUUGCGCAAUGGGGGGAACCCUGACGCAGCGACGCCGCGUGCGGGACGGAGGCCUUCGGGUCGUAAACCGCUUUCAGCAGGGAAGAGUCAAGACUGUACCUGCAGAAGAAGCCCCGGCUAACUACGUGCCAGCAGCCGCGGUAAUACGUAGGGGGCGAGCGUUAUCCGGAUUCAUUGGGCGUAAAGCGCGCGUAGGCGGCCCGGCAGGCCGGGGGUCGAAGCGGGGGGCUCAACCCCCCGAAGCCCCCGGAACCUCCGCGGCUUGGGUCCGGUAGGGGAGGGUGGAACACCCGGUGUAGCGGUGGAAUGCGCAGAUAUCGGGUGGAACACCGGUGGCGAAGGCGGCCCUCUGGGCCGAGACCGACGCUGAGGCGCGAAAGCUGGGGGAGCGAACAGGAUUAGAUACCCUGGUAGUCCCAGCCGUAAACGAUGGACGCUAGGUGUGGGGGGACGAUCCCCCCGUGCCGCAGCCAACGCAUUAAGCGUCCCGCCUGGGGAGUACGGCCGCAAGGCUAAAACUCAAAGGAAUUGACGGGGGCCCGCACAAGCAGCGGAGCAUGUGGCUUAAUUCGAAGCAACGCGAAGAACCUUACCAGGGCUUGACAUAUGGGUGAGGCGGGGGAGACCCCGUGGCCGAGAGGAGCCCAUACAGGUGGUGCAUGGCUGUCGUCAGCUCGUGUCGUGAGAUGUUGGGUUAAGUCCCGCAACGAGCGCAACCCCCGCCGCGUGUUGCCAUCGGGUGAUGCCGGGAACCCACGCGGGACCGCCGCCGUCAAGGCGGAGGAGGGCGGGGACGACGUCAAGUCAUCAUGCCCCUUAUGCCCUGGGCUGCACACGUGCUACAAUGGCCGGUACAGAGGGAUGCCACCCCGCGAGGGGGAGCGGAUCCCGGAAAGCCGGCCCCAGUUCGGAUUGGGGGCUGCAACCCGCCCCCAUGAAGUCGGAGUUGCUAGUAAUCGCGGAUCAGCAUGCCGCGGUGAAUGCGCUCCCGGGCCUUGCACACACCGCCCGUC